AGAGAAAAAUUUUAUUUACAUCAUUGUCAUAAUAGAAAUUUUGUAAUAUUAUUAAAUUGAUGAAAUUCUAAACAGAAUGUAUAUUUUCUAAAUAUUCAUACGCGGAACGGAUACUGUCGGGUCUUUUUCCAAGUAAUAUCGGACAUUUUCGCAGCAUAUUUUGGAUUCAGGGUAAUACCGUCUCGCAGUCAUGCAUAUAAAUUACGCGAUAGCGCGCGGGGUCUUACUAUCGCGUUUUAUUUCCACCGAGUAUUCUCAGCUGAGAUCAAUCUUAAAAUAACGAGUAUUAUCUGGCAUAUCCGGAGAGCGAACGGUAUCGUCGAACGAACAGUUUUUUUUCUACUUCCACGUCUCGUUUCGUGUACACCGUGUAAUCAGAUUCAACGCGACUUCGAGAGCAAGGAAAACGUCCGGGCUGCCGCUCGAGUGGGAAAACGUCGGAAGUAUCGUGUGGACGUCUUCUCCCGUCGGGGGAGGGCGAAUAAACAAAGAAAUAUUGCGAUGGCAAACGAGAUACCACCCGAGGAGUCUCUCCACCGUGCAGAUCCUGUCCCCUGCAGUUCGGUCGUUCGCCUUUCCAGCAUUCCAGGUCGGGUGUCCAUUUCGUUUGUUGAUUCAGAUAUGGCAUUAAGGGCGCGCAGCACUUUAGGUCUCCCGUCUUCGCUCUCUCGAGCGGCGCCGUCGAUACGUUUGCACCGCGUCGCCAUUCAAUUUACAUAACCGUUGCGCACGGCGCGUUAUCGUGUACGUCGGCUUGAAUACGCGUCAUACGUGUACGCGACACACGUCGCCGUCGGUCGUCGUUGUGACACAACGUUCAAGCUCACGCGCACAAUCGAGCACGCAGUCGCUGGCUGAUACUCGUUUGGUUCGCGGUUUCGUGAGUUUGCGGCUCAAUUCGGACGUGCCGCGCCAUAGGCUGAACAACCGGAUUCUAAUCAAUGAGAGCAGUGGCAUCGUUUCAUCGAUUUAACUGUCGGCUGCGAGCGAUCGCCUUUGUCCGUUUCCGAAUCCGCCGCUGCAACCGUGCAUCCCAAUUUAAAUCGCGCUCCGCCGUUGUACGUCGCGCCGAUCCGUUUAAUUCCGCGCGCUCGCACAAAUCAUUUUUAACUCAUUCGUACUCUCUCGGAUCUGGAAUUGUCACGUAAACAACGGGAGAUUCUGGUGAUUGAGAUAGUCAGGCAGACUAACGAUUCUAACAGCUUUAUCCGGCCAUUGAGAUGUACCUGAACGCAAUUUAUUCAGCGGCGAGCAAAAAAUGCUGCCACGUAAAACGAUUUACAAAUCCGGAAUUACUACCGGAGUAUCCGUGCUAUCGAGGUGGGGAUUUAGAUUUCUGUCGUGGGCGGCAGAGUGUACUAGAUAACAAAAGAAAGGACGGAAAUGCGGAGAAAAAAGACACGGUGGAUUCUAGAAUAACGAAUAUCAUAGAGGGGAUGGAGUUUGCGUGAAGUCGUAAGCAAAGAGAGAGAAAAAAAGUGAUAGAGAAGGUUGAAGGAAAUUGAUAAGUGUGUGUGAAGUUGGCAUAUCAUAUUGUGGAAACUCAUUAAUUAUUGAGAGUUCUGGGUUCCUUUUCAAUAGUUCUACAGUUCCUGAUAGGUUAAACUCAUAGUUCUGGUCGAAUUAAAGCAAAAAAAUCACUUAGUGCAAAGUGACGUUAACUUCACGCAGCGUUUCACUUUGUCCUACGAAAGUUUCCGCCCUAAUUCUUGUUGGAUUUUUAAAGAUCUAUAGUUCUAUAAUAGUUCUAGAAAGAGUUCCGCAGAUAAACAAUAUAUUUUCUGAAUUUAGUAUAAAAACAGAGGGAUCUAACUCUUCUAUUUUUUUUUUGUAACUUUGGCGAAAUUUUUAUCUCGACAAAAGAAAAUAUAAUUGCCAUAAAUGUCGGUACGGAAAUAAUCGAUCAUCACGCUUCAUAGAAGCGCUAAAGCCUUCACGGACACCUAUGCCAGAAAUUUCAAUUAAAUUUUUGAGUCAUUUCUUUUAUCAUAUCUAUUUUUUCCUUUUAUUUUAAUUGCCACAUUAUCAAUUUAUGAUGCAAUAACAGAGAUUACAUACUUGUUCCACAAAUAUCCAUCUCAUGGCAGCUUUAAUACACACAAGAUACAAUUCUUUUAACUGCCUAAAUUUCAAAUUGAAUAACAGUUCUAACAUCAAAGCGCUGUAUUCCACGUUCUCUUCUAAAGUGGCCUAUACAUUUGUUAGAUUUUGUAUACCUUCCAUUUUUUCUCUGGUAGAUAAAAUUAUGUAAUAAUAAGUAUAUACUAAAUAAAAAAUAUUUUUUAAAUAUAAUAUGUAUACUAUGUAACUGUAUUAUAUACAAUUUUAUUAUAUAUAAUAUAGUUAUAAUUUAUUGUAUAUGACUGACACACACACACACACACACACACACACACACACACACACACACACACACGCACGCACGCACGCACGCACACACACAAAAUUGGUAGGGCAUCGGGUUUAAUUGGAGAAUUCUCAACGUUCUCUCCCUUUCGGCUUUCCCCUUUCCCGCUCGUAUCUUUAUUACCCAUCACGCUUAGUUGUACUGCGAAGAUCGACAUCGAUUUUCUCUCUCGCUCGCAAGUGGAAUUGCCGAAUAUUUCGGCAGUAUCUCAAGAUAUCUGUGGCCCCCGGGGCGAGACGCGGCGAGCCGUGAUUUCGGCCAGGCUUAACUCGAUAAGCCUUCGCUCGCGGUUUUGCGGUUGCCUGGAGCCGAAGCGUCCUCUGGGCGUGUUCAUCGUAGGGCCGCUCUAGGUAGUUCAGGAAAAUGAUGAGAGAGCGGAUGCGCUGCACUGCACCGAUUAACGACCGUAAAAGUUCAAAGGCUUUGGACAGUUUAGCUUCUGCGCGUUUCAAACUCAUGCCGUUUCACGUGAAUGAUUUUGCCAGGGAGAAAAAUAUUUAAAUCGAGUUUACGCUGCCUGACGGAGGAAAGUAACCGUCGUGAUAAACUACAUCUGGGAAAAUGGCUCGUCGCGGGGAAUAUUUUACUGCCUGAAAUUCUCUUCUUUUGAUGCAACGGCGCGAAGGUAAUGUUCCUCCUUGUAAAGCGAUUUAGUUUCGUCGUGAAUGCGAAUAAUUCCGAAAUCUCGGCUUUGCGAAUCGGUAUUAAAGAUUCUGCAUUCUCCUGUUCUCGUUUACGCCCCAUCUGCAUUUUCUUCCCUGUACCUUUGCGCGAAGAAAUUCCUUCUCCGAGAGUUUCUGAAACGUAAUGUCUUCAUGUAAUCUCACGAUACGCACUGUGCUUUGUUUUAAUUGACAAGAGCGAGUCUCGGUGGAUUUCAUCUAGUUUCCGUUAUUAUCAUGGUUUCGCUCUUAUCACUUCUUACGCGAAAUGAGCUCACGGUGCGCUCUAAUAUAAAUUCGUGCGUUAAAAUUUGAUUCGAGGAAAUAUCACAAACACCAUUUUGACGCAAUCUACAAUUUUCCAUGAAUUUUCUAAAGCGCUCGAUGACAAUCUUUUUUCGAUGCAACGAGGAGGAAAGUCUGUCCAUUGUAAGCAAAUUGACGUUUAUCAUCACUGGAUUUUCAACAUUUUCCAGGACGUUAAUUCUGGCUUCAAUUGCUUCAAUGCACGCUUCGUCGCGCUCGUCAGGCGUUACCGUAUAUUCCGCAGCUUUGUAAAUACACAGGCGCUUCGUACGGUAAUAGUUUUAAAUUAUAUAGAUAUUUUAUAUGUACAAUUAUCUGCAAAUGCUGCUGUACCUACGAUUAAAAUUUCUACUGCAGUAUGUGUUUAAAUGGAAUUUUCAUUUUUGCACUCGAAUUUGUCGGAUAUUUUCAUCAUAUCAUAUUUAAAAUGUUUAACUUCAACGUACUUGAUUCACGUGCACAUUGAUUUUAUUGCAAAUAAUGCUUUGCUGUUACGUCUCCUCAUCAUAGGAAAGUUAAAUCGCAUCGUGCAGCUUCAUCUCGUUAACAAAUCACGUAGCAAAGUUUUCGGCUGCAGACGCUGGCACUGCAUUCUCUAUUAUGUUAUAAUGUGGACAUAUCGUGAGGGUACGUUGUGCGAACGCGAUACAAACUUAUAUUAAUUUCUGUUAUCAUCAUGCCACAACUGUUACGAUUAUUGACUACGCCUCUAUGACGUAAGAAUUGAAGAGACGCGUUUAAAUGUUUGUAUAGUAAAUUAAUAUAUUGCUUUGCAACGUUGAUAUGCAAACGACGUUUACACGCGUAUAUUGAUAGAGAUUUCAUUAUUAAAAUGUAAGGUUAAAAAAAUAUUUAAUACUAUCUGUUUAAUCUCUUUGUCAGCAUGGAGAAUUUAGGGAGAAUAAGAGGUUUUUUGGAUCGCUAAAUCCAAAUCUGAAGUCAAAAUUUCAAAAUUCAAAAUUGUUGGCUUGAAACGUUAUUGUAAAUUUUAAUAUUUUAAUUACGAAAGAAAUGAGAUUAUUUUAUAUUAACAUUUUGUAUGCGAUUUGAAUAAAUAUAAGUCACUAAAAAACGUUACAUUUCUGUUUAUGAAGAAAUAAUAUUAAUAUUAAUACAGAAUAUUAAUAUCAUACAUGGAUUCAUAAGAUCUCAAAAUGGAUAGGAAAAUUCUUAUUAAUAUAAAUCAUUGAGAGUUUAUCGCUGAUAACGCUUAUUAACAUGUAUGAUGUAUGGAAUACCUUUGCAUUUCUCGUUUUUGCGAGAGAGAUAGAGUGAGAGAGGAGGGGAGGGGGGAGAGAAACGCGAAACGAAAAUGCCGAAUUUUCAACGCGUAAUCCCUUGUCGCGAACAAAACUCAGGGACUGUUACCGGGGAUAUAGAGGUAUUCGGAACGAAAUAUAUUUAGCUACGGCAACCAGCGGGAAUUUAUUUGCGUUUUAUUGACAGUUGAAAAUAAAUGGGGACCACGCGGCACCGCGAAGCUAGGACUGGUCUGCCUGUCUUGCGCAAGAUUUUAGCGUACCAUGUGUCUGCUUCGCGUCUCUCGCCGAAUCCGCGUGGCGCAAUCAUUUAAUUACAAGUGUUUUCGAGGCGGCACAAGGGACGUGAUGUUUAUCGAAAGCCACGAUUAAGGGGUAAUAAUAUUUUCCGCGAGAAGCUCAAUAUUCCUGACGAAACUUUGCUACAUAGGAAGGUAAUUAGCAUCUUGCUACUAUUCCCUUUUAUGCAAAGUAUCGAGGACGCACCACGCUUGAGUAUAUAAAAUGAACCUCUCAAGCGAGCAGACCGAUAAGUUCUAUUCAGUUUGAUACAACUGAGUUAAUUAAUUGUUCGAAGUAAUUAGCAUCGUAAAUGAGUUUUGCCACUUCCCUUCCCGGGGGCAAUCGUCACUUUUAUUCCGUGAUACAGGGUAAGAAUUUAUGAGCUAUUUUUAUCAUCAUCUGCGUGGUGAUGCCUCGUAGCUUAACUUUUUCUGGCUUUACAUAUUAAUUUUAGUACCUAACAAAAUUAAUCUGACGAUCGUUCUGUUUUAUGUAUCGUUCGCUAAAAUUAGUGUUCCGUGAUCCCGCAUGACAACAUUAUAUAUGGCUAAUAUAAAAAUUAUAUUGUCAUUUUCUGUCGCAUUGAAUGAGCGUCCAUUGAGGCGAAAUCAGAGGCAUCGGAAAUACAUUAUAGAUACAUACAUAUUAAAAGCAUCGUCGCACUUUCGAUCUGCAUUCAACUAUUCUAUUUUCCUUCGUUGCAUGAGUAUGUAUUAAUGUAUUCUGCGUAGCUCGAGUGCAUUGGGCAGCUAUUGUUAAUUCACAGAGGAUGAAACAGUCGCUUCGCGAUACAUCCAGUGUAUACAGUGCUUACCGUCGCUAUCACCACAAUGGCGUGCACAUUGAAUUUUUAACGCGACACGCGAGUGUAUAGAUAUCACGUGCGCUGUGCACCGCCCGCAUUUAAUAUCGCCUUUCCCCUUUGCCAAGUAUUUCGAUCGUUCGAUCUUCUUCUUACCGUGACGUAUCGACCGCAACGCCGAAAAGGAGCACAUUUGCGUGUGUGCAACACGGAGAGACUCGACAGACUUACAACCCGCAACCCUGUGGAGGCGGUAAAUUCUUCAUUCAUUCUUAAAAAUAUCGGAUUAUUGUAUCUGGUGAAAUAGAAUUUUCACUUACAGACAGAUUUAGCUACGCUUCGUUGUACAUUGUAAUAAUUUCUGUGCAAAAUUUUAGUAGAAUUGCUAUUUUUAGUGCUCUUUUUACGUAAAUCUAAAAACUAUAAUUAUAAACGAGAAUUUUUAUAAAAAUAUUUCUUUGAAAUCACCAGCGACGAAGUAUAAAGGGCGGUUGUUAUUACAGAUUAUUUUUUAGAUACUGUACAUUCUUUCAAUGUUUUUUUAUAUUCAAGCUCGUUUAUUGUACAUCGUUAGGCGGCUGCAAGAUACAAAAUACGUGCGAAGUAUUGGAGUUCUUGGCGAUUAAAAUUUAAUGAUUCAUAGUAUCGAGCUUUUCUUUUUGUACUCAUUAAAUGCUCGAGUUACCUCUUUGGAAAAUAUUUUAUUAUAUCUACAAGUUUAAUCUCGUUUCUGCUUAAAUUAUAUCACGAUAUUUAGGCCGGCAAUUAAUCGGCGGAAAAUCAAGCGACCUAUUUUUGUUUAUGUAUUAAAACUUAUAUUACAAUUGUUGUACAAUUCCGUGAGCAAUUAUGUUAUUUCAUCCAAAUCAAGCAAUUUUCGUUUUUCGCGUACAAAAACUCGUCGAACGUAUCGCUUUUUUGCAGUCGGCUGGAAAUUGAUGUGAAUAUAUUGAAAAUUACACUGCGGCGUCGAACAAUGGAUUUUAACGCGCUAUUCGCAAUUUCGUCAACAAUGCUAUAAUGCGACGAUAGACGAUGCGACCGGCGUGUCGGUUCGCGCAAAUUGAAAUGGGGUAUUUCACUUUGCGGAAAACCCACGAAAUAAAUCACGCAGCCGAAUUUCCCCGCAAAGUGGAUAUUUCUGAUCGGAAUUUAUAUCGGACUCCUGUAGGACGCCUGUGUAUUCCUUCUCGCGCAUCUAUCUGCGUAACGUACGCGUUCCGGGAACAUUUCCAGUAUAAAUGGAUCGUGCCGCACGACAAGCAUUGCGAUACACUUGCAGUCGUAAAUUGAACCGUAAGAGGAUUCGCGCGUAGUCUUCAGUUGCACGGAAGAUUGAAGCUAUUUAUACUGCUAUUUCCAAUAUACUUUCAGCAGAUCACAUUAACCUUUCGCACCUUUGACACUGCACAGGAUAACGUCCUAAACGCGUACACACAGCCAGUGCACACAGUAGUACACAGAGCUUAUAUAAAACUCCUUUUUUUUUUGAAUUAUGAGAAUGUAAACACCAGUGCACGCCAGUGCUACAGAGAUAAUUAAACUGAAGAAAGGUAAAAAAGAAACGGUUUAAAGAAAUAAACAGUUUAAUAUCAAUUACUGUAAUAACGCGUUUUUUUCAAGAGGAUUAUUGCAGAGAUGUUCAUUAAAUCUUUAUAGCAGGGCUCUUUAUGAUCGCUCGUGAGUUACGUUUGGAAUUACAGAAACUUUUUCGUAGAAACAGUGACGCAAAAUAUGUCGCAUAUGACGGUUCCAGACGAGAGAAAUAAUUCGCGUCUACUUGCUAAAGAAGGAUCAAAAAUAUCAAACGUAGAUGCGAUACUCUUUUCCGUGAAACAAACGAAGGGCGGGAAGAAAGAGCGCCGCGUGCAUAUCUCGCGGUUAUAUCUCGGAAAGGGGGUGUCUUCUACUAUCGGUUGCGUCGGCUGUGAAGAAACAGCCAGCCAUCCGUGUCGUAUUAUAAAUCUCCUGCCGACGUGAGCGUCAUUUAAAUUGUCGACCGUACGGCGCAAUGACCGUGCCUCGGAGAUGCUAGCGUUGCAUAGAGCGCCGCUCGCUGCAGUUGCAGUUUCGCAUGAGGUGGAAGGAGAGAGGGGAAAAAAAGGAAAGAGAACGCGAUUCGCUAGCCCGUUCAUCGGCUCGACCCUUUUUUAUCCCUUCUCAACCGUGGGAACGUGCGCGGAAUGAUACAAGUGCCACGUUUAUCUCAUUUGUGUGCCCGCGAGACGAGAGGCGCUAGCCGCGCCGCGUUAAGCAACACAGUGUUUUAUAAACGAGCUCUCCCGCACUCGCAAUACAGUUUUGCGCUUUCGUUUCUGCGAUGCAAUGCAUUUCGCGACACGGCCGUUUUUCCCACUGGCCGGAACGUUGGACGUAUACGGAAAAAUAUAUUUUUAUUUUUACGCGAUAAUUUUUCUGCUCUGCCAUUGGAAGUCAUUUCGACGAAAAAAAAUUCAGAAAACAAAGAGUAUCUUCAAUAUUUCUGUAAGAUUUAAAACAUAAAUGUGCGAUCUCUCUGUAUUUUUAACGUUUAAUUUGUAAAAACAUUCGCAUUGGUUUACUUCACGGUUGACUUUACGGCGAUAUUGACUACUGCGCGCGACUGACUAUAUUUCAUUACUUACUACUGGCUGCGUUGUGUUAGCGAUGUCUGACUUAACGCUACUACGACUACUAGCGAUCUUGCAUCGAGUUGCAUUUAUCAACAUAAAUUUAGCCUUUCGGAAAUAAUUAAUCUGUCUAACUUUAUACUAAAACUAGUGGCUUAUUUUAAACAUAAAAAUAUUAAUAUGCAUGUAAAAAUAUUUUAAUUCAAACAUUGCUAUUACUGUACUUCUAUUUUAUUUGUUUUGGUAUACGUAAUUCCGCCAAAGUUGGAUUAUAAGCACAUUGCAGUAGCGGUUAAAUUUGAUUUACGCUAAAUCCUGUUGUACGAAGUUUAAUAUCAAAAAAGAACUUUGAAGAGAAGGAAAUACAAGCUCGCUCUAGAGUACAGUUAUUAAGUCCCUAAACUAAAUUACAAUCUCUAAAGGACUUAAAAGUUAUCUCGGUACUAAUGCCGGUCCAAUGAGAUAUCAGAAAUCAAGCUUGACUUUUUUCUCGUUUCAUUAUUCCACUCUUAUACAAUAUUCCACAGUCGAAAUGUCGAACCAGAGAAAGAUUGCGAAACCGACAUUAAGUGUUCUUAUUAAUCCAGCCGCGACCGUAUUUCCAUCAGAUGCACUCGUGAAACUUGGAACGAAUUCAUUCAAGAUCUUUACGAUUACUGCGGCUUCAAUUUCCGGUCGACCCUAUCGUAAAAAUCGUCAUUCUAGUUAUGCCCGUCUCUCAAGCACUUUGAGCUAUUGAAAGAAUUUACUACAACUGUUUCUGGUAAAUACGUUUAAGGAACAGUAACGGAAAGCGCAACACACUGUCGUUACCCGAUCUCUCAAUGUCUGAUCGUUAAGUCGUAUGUUCAUCUAUUAUUCAUGACCAAUCGUGAGAAUGUCGUUUAAGAUUUUCGCCAUUGUCUGAGGAAAUAUAGUGGAUAGAGUUCAAAAAUCGAGCUCAAUGGAAAAUGAAAAACAAAUCUAGCCGCGACCGAUGGGCGUUGCUUUUUUUUUUUCCUUUGAGUUAUAAAGUGGAAAGGUGCAAAACAAUACGCGCGUAUUCUACUUAAAAGAGCUCGGCCCGUUCCAUUGACGAGUAUCAAUGGCGAGUAUUUUGCGUAUCGAACAUAUCGAUUGCGCUUGACGGUGAUAUCGAAAGCUUCCAGAGGAUUUCACAAUUUCCCGACAGCGACAACGAAAGUCACGAGCGAAAUACCUCGGCGCGCAACUUUAUUUAUUGCAACGGGCCACCUUUGAAAUUCAAUAGAACGUAUAUGCACAACUCCUGGACAAAUUCCUCAUGCUGUAACUCGUCGGUGACGUUCCGUAUCCGGUAUAGACUGCAAGCUUAAACACGAGGGUGUGACAUGCAUUCAGGAGAUCGCGCGGUUUCUAUCAAAUAUGCAAUUUCCAUUAAAUUGUUGUACGUGAACCACUUGAGGAGGCUUUUCAGAAUAUAUGCUUCAUAAAUACAGAUUGUACGCGGUUAAUGUAAUCGUUUUGAAUAUGCAUAGCAGAUCUUCAUCUCGAAACUUGCGGUUCGUUAUUUAUACAAUCUACGAGGCAGCUAUAAUUGUCUGAGAAAACUGAAAACGUCCAUUAUAAUAACGUAAUACUUAUAAUAAAUAUUUUACAUAUUUCAAUAUGGUUUAUUCUAGUUUAGAUCAUAUUUUCAGAAUAAGCUCCCAUGUGAAUUUCAUUAUAACAAUCUAGUCAAGUGAUAACGUUUAGUUUCAAUCAAAAUUGAAUCCUACAAUCCACUGUAAACACGCCUUUAUCUAUUUUCGUUCUCGUCGCGCAGCUAAAACAAAUCGUCACAUAAACGCAAAAAAUUAUUAGCCGUUAUGUGUGCCGACUAUGUACAUAUCUCUUCGACCAUAUAUUGGCAACAGCUUGCAGCCGUCGAAAGUUCUGGGAAAGAGAAGUCGUCGGGAUAAAAAGCCGGCCGUGUGUAUCGCUACGUACAUAUAUUUCCUUGGGAGUGUUUUGCACGGGAAGCGCAGCUGGUGGCGUUCGCCGAAUGUCAAGCCAAGACGAAUUGCUCAGACACACCAGUCUUUCUAUUGGCAACCGGCGGAUGGUUAACUUAUUUUCUCGCGUUGCGUAAUGGAGUUCGUCUCCUCUGUAUCGCAUCUUCUUCCCUCCUCUCCGCGUUUCUCUUCCGUGUCUCGCGUCGAAACCGUAGACCUUUUCCUCCCUACGUCCAUUUCGUGACUCGGGAUUACGAGCUGCCGCUGCAGCUGCGUCCUAUUCUCGCGGCAACUCUCCCUCUUCUCGCCUAGUGUGUCGCCUGUUUACGAGAAAUCGAGACUACUCCGGGAAACUCACAAAGUCACGACUCUGGUUGAAGAGGAUAUUACAUCUGAGUUCAGCAAAUUCGCUGGAGAGAAAGAGAGAGAGAGAGAGAGAGAGGAGAGAAAGAGAAUAUGUCGCGUCUCAGCCGUGGUAAUCUGCUUUGCAACCGUUCGCGGGUUGAUGUAUAAAAUGGCCCGGAAAAGUAAUGAACGUAAGGCGGUAAGUUCCAACGAACCCCGCGGGAGCAGUUUGCCGCGGGCCGUGAUUUAUGGCUGUUGAACUGCACACGAAGAAGGAGCACUCGUGAGAACCGCGGUAGCUAUUUAUACGGAUCUUGCCGCUGACCCCUGCGAAAGAACUCGAUCGUGAUGGAUUCAACCUUAUCGUCGCAUCAUUCGACCGUAAAGAUACCAGAAAUACGUUAUUAUGUCCAAUAAUUCAGCGUUCAAGCAAGAAGCAGCGAGGAAAAAUUAAAGUGCUAACAGCUUGAGUAAGCAGGUCACUGUUAGACGAAUCUCUCUCUCUCUCUCUCUCUCUCUCUCUCUAUACGUUAAAACGCUGUAAACACGUUUUGAUCGAUUGAUCAAUUUCCUGGCUUGCAAAAAAAAAACAA